UGUGGUCUUUAAGCUUCUCGGUAGGAGUCCCACCUGUGGUCUUUAAGCUUCUCGGUAGGAGUCCCACCUGUGGUCUUUAAGCUUCUCGGUAGGAGUCCCACCUGUGGUCUUUAAGCUUCUCGGUAGGAGUCCCACCUGUGGUCUUUAAGCUUCUCGGUAGGAGUCCCACCUGUGGUCUUUAAGCUUCUCGGUAGGAGUCCCACCUGUGGUCUUUAAGCUUCUCGGUAGGAGUCCCACCUGUGGUCUUUAAGCUUCUCGGUAGGAGUCCCACCUGUGGUCUUUAAGCUUCUCGGUAGGAGUCCCACCUGUGGUCUUUAAGCUUCUCGGUAGGAGUCCCACCUGUGGUCUUUAAGCUUCUCGGUAGGAGUCCCACCUGUGGUCUUUAAGCUUCUCGGUAGGAGUCCCACCUGUUAUCUUGAAGCUUCUCGGUAGGAGUCCCACCUGUGGUCUUUAAGCUUGUUGAUUUAAGUUCUAAAAGACUAAACUGAUCCUAGAUCAGCAUUUCUGCUCUGAGACCCUUUAUGAAUACAGGCAUUGUGCUUUUUCAACAACAACAACAACAGAAAAAUGGCAGUUCUCUCUUCCCCUCCUCUCUCUUGAUCUUUCUCUCUGAUUUAAAAUGCAGUUUUUUUGCACUGACCCGUCACUAUCAAUGCUUUUGUUCCACUGUUUGCCGAGUUGCUCUGUGAAAAAUGUAAAUGACACACAAAAAAAUACAUUGUUAAAAAAACAACCCAAAAAAAUGUAUGAAUAACGUUGGAUGUUUUAUCUGCUUUUUACAAGCUUUGGGGAAACGAUACGCAGGUGUAGAAAAGUGUACAAUAGUCUUGUUAAUGAUUGUAAAAUGAAAUAACAAUUGUGGAUGAAAGCACACUUUCUGGAAUUGUAAUUUUUUUAAACUGCUAGUGUCGUGUGUUUUGUAAUAGAACAAUUAUAACUAUUUACAACA